rnacentral:rRNA from 1 species
GACGUAGGGGGCGAGCGUUGUCCGGAAUUACUGGGCGUAAAGAGCACGUAGGCGGGAACUUAAGUCAGAUGUGAAAGACCGGGGCUCAACUCCGGGAUUGCAUUUGAAACUGGGUUUCUUGAGGGCAGGAGAGGAAAGCAGAAUUCCUGGUGUAGCGGUGAAAUGCGUAGAAAUCAGGAGGAAUACCAGUGGCGAAGGCGGCUUUCUGGACUGACCCUGACGCUGAGGUGCGAAAGCGUGGGUAGCAAACAGG